rnacentral:rRNA from 1 species
UGGGGGAUAUUGCACAAUGGGCGAAAGCCUGAUGCAGCGACGCCGCGUGGGGGAUGAAGGCCUUCGGGUUGUAAACUUCUUUUGCUCUGAACAAGGCAUGCUAAUGGGUGUGUUGAGUGUAGGGGUUGAUUAGCGCCGGCUAACUACGUGCCAGCAGCCGCGGUAAUACGUAGGGCGCGAGCGUUGUCCGGAAUUAUUGGGCGUAAAGGGCUUGUAGGUGGCUGGUUGCGUCUGUCGUGAAAGCUCAUGGCUUAACUGUGGGUUUACGGUGGGUACGGGCUGGCUUGAGUGCAGUAGGGGAGGCUGGAAUUCCUGGUGUAGCGGUGGAAUGCGCAGAUAUCAGGAGGAAUACCGGUGGCGAAGGCGGGUCUCUGGGCUGUUACUGACACUGAGGAGCGAAAGCAUGGGGAGCGAACAGG